UAGGGAAUCUUCGGCAAUGGACGAAAGUCUGACCGAGCAACGCCGCGUGAGUGAAGAAGGUUUUCGGAUCGUAAAACUCUGUUGUUAGAGAAGAACAAGGACGUUAGUAACUGAACGUCCCCUGACGGUAUCUAACCAGAAAGCCACGGCUAACUACGUGCCAGCAGCCGCGGUAAUACGUAGGUGGCAAGCGUUGUCCGGAUUUAUUGGGCGUAAAGCGAGCGCAGGCGGUUUCUUAAGUCUGAUGUGAAAGCCCCCGGCUCAACCGGGGAGGGUCAUUGGAAACUGGGAGACGUGAGUGCAGAAGAGGAGAGUGGAAUUCCAUGUGUAGCGGUGAAAUGCGUAGAUAUAUGGAGGAACACCAGUGGCGAAGGCGGCUCUCUGGUCUGUAACUGACGCUGAGGCGCGAAAGCGUGGGGAGCAAACAGG
rnacentral:rRNA from 1 species